AGUGGCCACAGUAUUGGCCAGUGUAGCCCAAGGAUAUCUCAAAUUAUCUCAAAGCUAGAUCAGUGAUUAAAGGAUUCUCAGGCCAGGCAUGGUAGUUUUCAGGCCUGGUAUGGUGGUUUACGCCUGUAAUCCCCGCACUUUGGGAGGCCUAGGUGGGCGGAUGGCUUGAGCCCAGGAGUUUGAGACCAGCCUAGCCAACGUGGGGAGACCCUGUCUCUACCAAAGCACAAAAAUUAGCUGGGCAUGGUGAUGCGCACCUGUGGUCUCAAGUACUUUGUGUGAGGUGGGAGGAUCACUUGAGCCCGGGAGGUUGAGGCUGCAGUGAGCUGAGAUUGCACAACUGCACUCCAGCCUGGGUGACAGAAUGAGACCCUGUCUCAAAAAAAAAAAAGGAUUCUCCGAAAGACUGGCGAUUGCUUUUUAAGCUAUAAGGAAGGCCUUUGAAGGGAAAUCAAGUAGGAAGAGGAUGAUAGCUGGCUCACAUGUCCUUGCCACAUGGGAGGAAGAGUGUCUUCAUCUCUGCAUCCCUAGUGCAACAGAGCAUGACAAAAAUUCAACAAAUAUUUAUUGAAGAGUCUUGAUGUCUUUUGGGAAAGGAACUCUAUGGUUACCUUUACUCUAAGUUGCUUAUAAUCUAGGUGAGGACACAUCUGAGAGAAUAACUAAUAGUUCAGUGAAGAUUAGAUGGGUGUUACUGAUUCUUACCUCAGAGAAGAGAAUGUCAUGGAGACAAAAUGACCUGCUUAGAGUUCUGCACCCCCCAGCAUGGAGAGCAGAGCGCAAAGAUUUCUUCCGGACUCCCACAUUCCCCUUGGAAUCCAAGAACUGGUCUACUGUCACAACACUUUAGUACCCUCUUCUCCCAAGGAGGCAGCAGAAACUGGGGUAAUCACAACGGUCAACAGCAGCAAAGGCAGCACUUUCUGAUUUACUUGACUGCUAUGGAUGCCACCUCUCUCCACGCCUCAG
rnacentral:lncRNA from 10 species